rnacentral:rRNA from 1 species
UAAUGUCUGGGAAACUGCCUGAUGGAGGGGGAUAACUACUGGAAACGGUAGCUAAUACCGCAUAACGUCGCAAGACCAAAGAGGGGGACCUUCGGGCCUCUUGCCAUCGGAUGUGCCCAGAUGGGAUUAGCUAGUAGGUGGGGUAACGGCUCACCUAGGCGACGAUCCCUAGCUGGUCUGAGAGGAUGACCAGCCACACUGGAACUGAGACACGGUCCAGACUCCUACGGGAGGCAGCAGUGGGGAAUAUUGCACAAUGGGCGCAAGCCUGAUGCAGCCAUGCCGCGUGUAUGAAGAAGGCCUUCGGGUUGUAAAGUACUUUCAGCGGGGAGGAAGGGAGUAAAGUUAAUACCUUUGCUCAUUGACGUUACCCGCAGAAGAAGCACCGGCUAACUCCGUGCCAGCAGCCGCGGUAAUACGGAGGGUGCAAGCGUUUAAUCGGAAUUACUGGGCGUA